rnacentral:rRNA from 1 species
CCUACGGGAGACAGCAGUGGGGAAUAUUGGGCAAUGGACGCAAGUCUGACCCAGCAACGCCGCGUGAAGGAAGAAGGCUUUCGGGUUGUAAACUUCUUUUAAGGGGGAAGAGCAGAAGACGGUACCCCUUGAAUAAGCCACGGCUAACUACGUGCCAGCAGCCGCGGUAAUACGUAGGUGGCAAGCGUUGUCCGGAUUUACUGGGUGUAAAGGGCGUGCAGCCGGAGAGACAAGUCAGAUGUGAAAUCCACGGGCUCAACCCGUGAACUGCAUUUGAAACUGUUUCCCUUGAGUGUCGGAGAGGUAAUCGGAAUUCCUAGUGUAGCGGUGAAAUGCGUAGAUAUUAGGAAGAACACCAGUGGCGAAGGCAGAUUACUGGACGAUAACUGACGGUGAGGCGCGAAAGCGUGGGGAGCAAACAGGAUUAGAUACCCCAGUAGUC